rnacentral:tRNA from 1 species
GCCCGUGAGCGCCGGGCAGGUGCUGGUCUGCGGCACCGACGUCACAGGGGCCGACCCCGCCCGCCGGUUCCGGGCCGGCCUCGGGCG